rnacentral:rRNA from 1 species
CCUACGUGAGACAGCAGUGGGGAAUAUUGGGCAAUGGGCGCAAGCCUGACCCAGCAACGCCGCGUGAAGGAAGAAGGCUUUCGGGUUGUAAACUUCUUUUCUCAGGGACGAAGCAAGUGACGGUACCUGAGGAAUAAGCCACGGCUAACUACGUGCCAGCAGCCGCGGUAAUACGUAGGUGGCAAGCGUUAUCCGGAUUUACUGGGUGUAAGGGGAGUGUAGGCGGGAAAGCAAGUCAGAUGUGAAAACCAUGGGCUCAACCUGUGGCCUGCAUUUGAAACUGUUUUGCUUGAGUACUGGAGAGGUAGACGGAAUUCCUAGUGUAGCGGUGAAAUGCGUAGAUAUUAGGAGGAACACCAGUGGCGAAGGCGGUCUGCUGGACAGCAACUGACGCUGAGGCGCGAAAGCGUGGGGAGCAAACAGGAUUAGAGACCCGGGUAGUC